GUGGCGCAGUGGAAUAUUUAUCAAAUUAGUCAUAGUUCAGGCACGGUUAGAUUGCCAUUACGUUGUAAAAAUGCCGUUGGUUUAGUUUAUUUAUAACAAAUAAAGCCGUAAACUUUAAUCAUAACAUAACAAUGGCAUAAAAGCCAAGUAUUCCUGGAAAGAAUGUACAAUUCUUUCAACCUAAGAUAAUGACACAUCACAUUCAGUAUCAGCUACUGCUACCGAGUCAUUGAUAGAUUUGUCAUAUGACUUUGAGACCGAAUUCUGUGAACUGGAUUUAUUACCCGAUGAAGUAACAUGGUCAUCCACAGGAGCAACGGAUGCAAUUUGUUCUGCUUGAUCUGCAAUGUGACAAUGUUUUUGCCCUAAGGAAACCAAGGCAGCUAUCUAAAUAAACACAAAGACUCUGUUUCAUUUA